rnacentral:rRNA from 1 species
AUGUUCGCGCACGGCUCUCUCGCGAGGUUUAGCCGGCUUGCUCGAACCCGAAGGCCCCCGCUCGUCGCGGCCUCCCCGCUCCGCUACCUCCAGGGAUCAGUCGGUCCAAAUAAUUUGCCCUCCUCUGUCAUGGAACGGGCGCAGGGAGCUUCAAAUAAUGCGGCGAAACACAGGAAAACUAAUCCACCUCUGCAGACAUGGAGGCCAGUCUCGACACAAGCAUCUCCCCGGGAAGCUCACCUUGAUGAGAUAUCCAAUUCCAGAAGGAAGCAAAUGGCAGGGACUUCCAUCACUGAUAGUGAGAAUUCGGUGUUGGAUGAAACAACGAAUGUUGGCAUUGAAGUAACCACCAAUAAUACUUUCUUGUCAGAAAGUAGUUCCACCUUUAGUUCCAGUGCAACUAAAGUAGCUGCAGAAAACACUAUGGAGGUAAUCAGAGAAAAAUAUUCCUCUUCUGUUGAGGUAGAUGUUCCUCUAAUGCAUUUUCUGAAAGGAAAAGGUGGGUCUGUGCAGAAGCAGAUUGAACAGGAGACUGGAGUUAAAAUCAUUUUUCCAUCUGGAAAGGAGGAAACACUAGUUGUCCUCGAAGGUAAAAGUGCUGAAAGUAUUGGAAAAGUAUCAGAGAGAAUUGCAAAGAUCCUUGAAGAGGCUGUUCAAAGUCCAAUGCUAGAUUACUCGCAUUUCAUAUCACUUCCAUUGGCCAUCCACCCCGAUCUUGUCGAGAAGCUCAAUAACUUCCAGAGGUCGAUCCUUGGGGUGUCUGCAUCUAAUGUAGAUAGUGAUAAGGAUGAAAUCCUAAGCGAAAGUUCUGUGGAUGAAAUUGAUGAAGCAGCGAGCCCUAGUGUUCCGGUCAAGCAGCCAGUCCAAGAAGAAAAGCCUGUCAUAGUGAAAAUGGAUAAUAAGGGCUCCCAACCAGAGUUCGACAUUGACAAGUCAAUAUUCAUAAAACCCAAAACGUUCCACCUAACAGUUCUUAUGUUGAAGUUGUGGAAUAAGGAUCGUAUAGCCCAGGCUUCUGAUAUCCUCCAGUCAGUAUCUUCCCAGGUAAAUGAUGCUUUGGAAAACCGACCUAUCUCCAUACAACUUAGGGGUCUGACAUGCAUGAAAGGCUCACCAGCUAGGGCCAGGGUUGUAUAUGCUCCAGUACUGGAAGUUGGUGGAGAAGGACGCCUUGUCCGUGCUUGCAAGGUAAUAACUGAAGCCUUCGUCAAGUCAGGCCUAGUUCUUGAAAGGGAUGCCAAACAAGAAUUGAGGUUACAUGCAACCAUAAUGAAUGUGCGCCACCGGAAGAGCAAGAAAUCGAACCGAAGAAACGAUUCGUUCGAUGCUCGGGCUAUAUUCAGACAAUACGGGGAACAGGAUUGGGGCGAGUAUCCUGUACCGGCGGUGCACCUAUCGCAGAGGUUCAAGUUCGACGAGGGUGGAUACUACCACUGCUGUUGCUCGAUCCCCUUGCCCGAGGUGGCUCAGACGGAGUGA